GACGAACGCUGGCGGCGUGCUUAACACAUGCAAGUCGAACGGAAAGGCCCUGCUUUUGUGGGGUGCUCGAGUGGCGAACGGGUGAGUAACACAUGAGUAACCUGCCCUUGACUUUGGGAUAACUUCAGGAAACUGGGGCUAAUACCGGAUAGGAGCUCCUGCUGCAUGGUGGGGGUUGGAAAGUUUCGGCGGUUGGGGAUGGACUCGCGGCUUAUCAGCUUGUUGGUGGGGUAGUGGCUUACCAAGGCUUUGACGGGUAGCCGGCCUGAGAGGGUGACCGGCCACAGUGGGACUGAGAUACGGCCCAGACUCCUACGGGAGGCAGCAGUGGGGAAUAUUGCACAAUGGGCGGAAGCCUGAUGCAGCAACGCCGCGUGCGGGAUGACGGCCUUCGGGGUGUAAACCGCUUUCGCCUGUGACGAAGCGUGAGGGACGGUAAUGGGUAAAGAAGCACCGGCUAACUACGU
rnacentral:rRNA from 1 species